UGCUGCCCCGCCCCAGGCUGGCCGCCUCCGAAGCUGACCUGCCUCGGAGGAGCCCGGAGUCCUGCCUUCAGCCUCAGCCAGGUGGAUCCACCAUGGGGUCAUUAAAGCAAUAAACAAGUUCCCGAUUGUCGGUGGGCCGGACCUGGCACCCACCGUUCCCUGCAUUGUGUGGAGUUCCAGCGGGCCCACACCACCCCCGAAACAAUGCCUCACUUCCUCCCAGGAAGCUGCAGACCCGAGCCAGUCUCCUGGGCUCGCCCACGUGCUCUGGCCAAGCCAUUGUGUCCAAGACGGCCGGGUCCAGCCAUUCCCAUGACCAGGGGAGGAGCUGAGUGGUGGCACAGAAUAGGGCCCAUCAAUAAUGUGACCAACAAGAUCAUCCUGCUUUGCAGACAGUCGCCUGGUGGCAAAGAACACUGACCAGCCCAGGGUCCUCAGUAGGGCCAUGCCACAGUCACGGCCAGGGGCACCCUUGUCACCAAUCAACUGACGAAACAUGGGGAGGCCUGUUUCUGGACUCUGUUUGCUGUUGCUGAUGUAUAUUUCCAUCAGUAGACCAAUGCCACACUGACUUUACUCCUACGGCUUUAUAGUAGGUCUUGAAGUCAAAUAAAAUAAAUCCUACCUUG